GUGGGGAAUAUUGCACAAUGGGGGAAACCCUGAUGCAGCGACGCCGCGUGAGUGAAGAAGUAAUUCGUUAUGUAAAGCUCUAUCAGCAGGGAAGAAAAUGACGGUACCUGAGUAAGAAGCCCCGGCUAACUACGUGCCAGCAGCCGCGGUAAUACGUAGGGGGCAAGCGUUAUCCGGAUUUACUGGGUGUAAAGGGAGCGUAGACGGCAGUGCAAGUCUGGAGUGAAAGGCGGGGGCUCAACCCCCGGACUGCUCUGGAAACUGUACGGCUGGAGUGCAGGAGAGGUAAGUGGAAUUCCUAGUGUAGCGGUGAAAUGCGUAGAUAUUAGGAGGAACACCAGUGGCGAAGGCGGCUUACUGGACUGUAACUGACGUUGAGGCUCGAAAGCGUGGGGAGCAAACAGG
rnacentral:rRNA from 1 species